GAUGAACGCUGGCGGCGUGCCUAAUACAUGCAAGUCGAGCGAACGGACGAGAAGCUUGCUUCUCUGAUGUUAGCGGCGGACGGGUGAGUAACACGUGGAUAACCUACCUAUAAGACUGGGAUAACUUCGGGAAACCGGAGCUAAUACCGGAUGAUAUUUUGAACCGCAUGGUUCAAAAGUGAAAGACGGUCUUGCUGUCACUUAUAGAUGGAUCCGCGCUGCAUUAGCUAGUUGGUAAGGUAACGGCUUACCAAGGCAACGAUGCAUAGCCGACCUGAGAGGGUGAUCGGCCACACUGGAACUGAGACACGGUCCAGACUCCUACGGGAGGCAGCAGUAGGGAAUCAUCCGCAAUGGGCGAAAGCCUGACGGAGCAACGCCGCGUGAGUGAUGAAGGUCUUCGGAUCGUAAAACUCUGUUAUUAGGGAAGAACAUAUGUGUAAGUAACUGUGCACAUCUUGACGGCACCUAAUCAGAAAGCCACGGCUAACUACGUG
rnacentral:rRNA from 1 species